CUCGUUCCCAGAGGGAUGGGACCGCGCCGCGCCCUCCCCGCGGCCCCGGGCGGAGGCGGCGGCGGCGGCGGCGCCGUGAGGGGAGGGGAGGGGAGGGGGGGGAGCGGCGCCCCGUGCGUGCCGCAGCCGGUCACGUGGGCGGCGGCACCGGGGCCGGGGCCGCGAGAGGCUGAGGCGGCGCCGGCAGCAGCGAUGGCGGCGGCGCUGGGCGGGCUCGGCCUCGGCCUCCUGCGCGCCCGGCUCAGGCUCGCAGCCGCAGCCGCCGCGACCUCGGCCGCCCUCGGCCGAAGCGGCCACCGCGCGCCCCCGCUGCGGGGAGGCGUCGCCGCUGCCGCUCUCCCCUCGGCCGGGAGGAGCUACGGCUCGCAGGCGAAGGAAGAGGAGGAGCUGCGCGUCCGGUACCUGGAUGAUGAGCACAAAGGAAUUGUGGUGCUUGGAUUAAACAGAUCUCAUGCCAAGAAUGCACUUAGCAAAAACCUUGUAAAAAUGAUGUCAAAAGCUGUGGAUGCUUUGAAAUCUGAUAAGAAAGUACGAACUGUUGUAUUCCGGAGUGAAGUCCCGGGGAUAUUCUGUGCUGGUGCUGACCUUAAGGAAAGGGCAAAAAUGCACUCAAGUGAAGUUAGUUCUUUUGUCUCCAGAGCAAGAGCAACUAUUAAUGAAUUGGCUAAUCUGCCUGUACCUACUAUUGCUGCAAUAGAUGGAACUGCCUUAGGUGGUGGCCUAGAACUUGCGUUAGCCUGUGAUAUACGGGUGGCAGCAUCUUCUGCUAAAAUGGGCCUGGUUGAAACAAAGUUGGCGAUCAUUCCAGGUGCAGGGGGGACACAAAGAUUACCUCGCACAAUUGGAGUGUCAUUGGCAAAAGAACUAAUCUUCUCUGCACGUGUUGUAGAUGGUGAGGAAGCAAAAUCAAUAGGAUUGAUCAGCCAUGUGGUAGAACAGAAUGAAGCAGGGGAUGCUGCAUACAGAAGAGCAUUAGCUCUGGCGAGAGAAUUCUUACCUCAGGGACCAGUAGCAAUGAGAGUUGCAAAACUGGCUAUCAAUCAGGGAAUGGAGGUCGACUUAGUAACAGGUUUAGCAAUUGAAGAAGCUUGUUAUGCUCAGACUAUCCCAACAAAAGAUAGAAUUGAAGGCCUUCUUGCAUUUAAGGAGAAGAGACCUCCUCGCUACAAGGGAGAAUAAAAGAAUCUGAUGCCUUUAAAAUACAGGGGGAUACAAGCACUUCUAUGAGGACCAUUAAGGUGCACUUUGCAUCCGCACCUGGAAUAUCACAAUCACCAAAGUAACAGCAAAUCAUACAGAUGUUACAACAUUUUGAAUGUGUCCAUACUUGUACGAAGCCAAAAUAGAAAUGUGUGUCAGCUCAUGCUCAUUACAGUUUCUGAUGGUUGAUCAGUGUAAUGGCAAAGUCACAGGUUCAGCAUUUUUAAAAUUUCAAAUGUAUGAAACAUACCAUUCCACAAUUGAAAAAGCUCUGUAAUACUUUACAUGGACAAAAUGUAUCUGUGAUGUUAAGCAUAAAUCUGCUAUAUCAUUUUAUCAAAACAAAAGCAACUACUGAACACCAAAAAUAAGAAAUUGUACCAAAUAUGCAUUUAGAUUAUUCUCUAUAUCAGUAAAAAUAUAUAUUUGAGUAUUCUAUUGGAAUAUCUAUAUUAUUCAUAAAGCUAGGGGAAACGAAAAGAAUUAUAAUUUAGAAAAUGUUAAGAUUUGUUUAUCUUACUUACUCUAUCCUAAGCAAAAUGAAAUUGACUUUAGCACUUAAUGGUGUCCUUUUGAUAAAGUUCUUGCCAUUAUAUUCAUUUAAUUGUAUUAAAUGAAGAUAUUUUUGAGGCCAGCCUUUAAUUAUGCAUUAUUGUAUGUUAACCUGUCUUUGUCUUGCAUUUUUCCAACAUAUCAUCUGAUCAGCACUGUAAUGGAACUUUAUUUAAUUUGCCCCAGUUAUUUUAAAUUUUUGAUGAUUGUAUUAAAGAUGGUUGUGUGGGGAUAUGACCAAUGUGCUGUAAUAGAACCUAGAAUUAUCUUAAUCUCCAGAAUAUUUCUUUUGCAAAUUUUUGAAUGUAUAUUUAUGUACAACAGGGAUGAUGGUGAAAGGUUGUUUAUUUUGUGUUGGCCUCAGAGUUCUUUUCAUGCAUUGCAAGAGAAAUGCAGUAGGUUUCAAGGAGAAGACAGUGUCAUAUCAUAGCAAUUUGAGUUCCUUCUUUGAAGUGAACAGUUUGAAUAUAUUACAAAUUCUAGAAAGAGAAUUAUCUCCAAAAUUGAGAAGAAGAAAAAUGGCAAGCAGAUAAACCAAAGGAAGAGUUGUUUUCAGCUAAAGAGAACCAUGGAGAAUAUCCUAUCAGAAUUGAGGAGAAGAGGAUUGUUUUCCAUAUUCUUUGAGAUUAUUUUUGGCACUAAUAUAGCCUGGGAUGCAGAAGCCACCCCAUGCCAAGCUCCUGCAGGGAUUAUCAGGUUACAUCAACAACAUAUUGGGAAGCAGGUAUUCAGCCUUACCAGCCUUACUCUGGAUCACAGGAAUGGACUUGAAAUAAUGCAUAUGGAAAAUCCUUUUAGAGCACAAGGAGUGGUGUACAAGCUUCUGCUCUAGCCAUCCAGGAAUUUUCAAAUGCAGAUUUGGUGAUCCUCAAGAAUGCAGGCCUGUCACACAAUGAAAAUGUAACUCAGAAUCGUAUGAUGCUGUAGACGGGAAGGAUGUUUUGCAGAAAUAAUUGAAAGAACUGUGAUCUGAGAAAAAAAUGCAAAAUGAAGUGAAUCUGUAGGAAAGCAGUACAAAACAAAGAGCUACAGCUAGCAGAUCCUCUCUGGGAUUUUAGGAAUGUUGAGACGUGCUGGUUAUAAAGCCCUAAGUACAAAAUGGUCACGGAUGGCUGGAAUGAGGCAUGUUCUAAUGGAAACAAAUCACUUGUCAGUAAGCAGCCUUCAAACUUUUGAACAAAAGCUCAAAAGGGUCAGGGAAAAGACAUUGUUUGUUGAUUUAAAAUGGCUGGAUGCAGGUCAUCAGGAAGGCAAAGGCUUCAAUAUUGUUGAGGAAAGUAGUUGUGGCUGAUUUAUACAAAGUGCUCUAAAAGGACCCGUUAACAUUAUGGAUGGAAAUGAAAUACUAAAUAACAUGAUGAAGAUUAUUAAAUUGCCAGAUGAAACAAAAACUAAGGGUUUGAAAAUCAUGCAGCAAAUGACACCUGAGAUCUCAUGCUGAAUGAGUAGGACAAACAUAAGUAUUGAGUAACUGCCCAUUCACUGAAAGAAGGCAAGGUUCCAGCAAAAUACCUGACCAUGUUUUAUAUUAUUUACUUGUCUAUAGGUAUGAAGUGUGUAACUGAACUUGGCCACGGAAACUGAGCUUGGAGAGCAUGAUGGGGGGGCUCAGUUAAGAGGCAGAGAAAAACCUUAAUCCUGUUGCUUAAUUUACACGGGUUCAAGGGCUUGAUUUUGUGAGUCUAAUUAUUCUUUUCAGUUUUCUUCUCCAGUGCAGCUCAUGGGUAUGGAAAACAACAUGAACACUUUCUGAAAGACAGCUGGCACAGCUGGUUCCUCAGCACACAUGACCACAAACCAAACCUCAUACUGUCAGCUUAAUCUUUGCUUUGGCUUGUUUAUAUUAGUAACCCAUCAAAAUGUGUCAGUGUAUACCAACCUCUUCUUCCAUAAACACUUUUUUCUCUCUUGUAGCUGAUUUUUAUAUGCGCAGCAUACUGCAAGCUGCAUAAAUAUCAAGCUCCUUGUGGUACAUAAGCAUACCCAGGAAAUAGUGAUUGCCUGGUAAAGCAUUUUAGGCUGGCACUUGGGAACUCUGAAAUGAGAUCUUGCACAAUGUUUGUUCACUCUUAGAAGAUCAGAACGUUCCUUGCCAAACCCUCAACCUUUAAGUGGAAAUAGGACACAUUGCCCUUCCAAGAAGAUACAGAUAGGAUGGCACAACUCUUCUGACAUGAGCAGAGGCAAAAAGACCUAAAAGAAGCAGGUAGAAUAUGGAAGGGUUGUUGUACCUAUCCAAGGAGUGUCUUGGUCAGAGCUUUUACUGAAGAGAAUAGAAAUCAUAAAUACUGCAGAUACUUUCAUGCACAAGAAAAACUGGAUACCCUGGGACACAUUUUGAAAUAAAAUUAUUGCAUAAAAUUUUAAAACUUACCUAACAACAACUUCCUCACCAUGGAAAACAUCUGUACAUGAUGAUGAUGCAUACAGAACUGUGAUUCAGUAUUAGUGUAAUUUCCUGUAACAGACAGCCAAAUUUUAGGACUCUGCAUAGAAGACAAACAUCUUCUGCUGACUCACCCUCAUCUUGCUCCAUAUUCAGAUUUCCAGGGAGUGGAGCAGAUCACUUUGCUGGGGGACCAUGCACCAUCCUCUGCUGUGCCGUUCCACUGGCAGAGAGGCUGGGAGCACUGCCUUAGAGCAACGCUCAGUGACCUGCUUUGUUCCUAGAAAGAAGAACACCUCACCAAGAUGGAUACAAGAGUUUUUUGAAGGAUCCUGCAGCAAUCUGUGGACUGAGAUUAUGCACACCAUAAGCAUAGGGCAAGGAGAGAGGAAAUGCAAGAUGCUGUUGAGUCCUGGCCUAAGAGAGGAAGAAUACAUAGCAAUAUUAAAUUUAGUUUGUCUCUGUGUGUAAUGCUCUUUGUUGUGCUAGAUAACUUCAAGAAUUACAAACUGCCCAUAUGAAUAAACAAAUCAGAGGAUUGCUGCAGGCACACUGAGAGCACAAUAUGUGUAUGAGAUGUUAUAUAGUAAAUAAUGGGAUGUUGUCUUCAUGAUAUUGCGGCCACAUGCUUUGCAUGGAGCACUUAAACAUUUACUGUAAGUAAAUCCAUUAGGAAAGACAAUCAUUCUCUCUUACUGACUUUCUCCAAACCAGUGCAUUGAAAAUAGGCUGUUUCCUGCUCCAGACAUUCCUUUAGAGAUGACAGGAACUCCCCGACCACAGUCUUGGUGCAGGAACAAUUUGUGUUAGUGCUUUCUUUUUGCAAAGAAUUUUGUACUUUGGACUUUGUUGAUAUACUUCUGCUGCCAUCUUAACACAGAUCCCAAUGUGAUCUUGAAUUUAGGGAAUGGAAAAUCCUGAUAAACAUCCGGGCUGCUGUGAAUGCAAAGGACAAAGCCUUUGUAGUAAAAUGUCUCUGCCAUACACCCAUGAAAAGUGUUUGAUGUGCUGUAAAAGACAUCUGUCUGAGAAAAAAAUUGUUUUUCCUCUUUGGCUUUGUUAAGCAGACUGUAGAAGUAAAUGACACAAAGUAACCCUUCUUUUCCUCUCCUACUGCCCCUCUCUUUGUUUGAUCUUGCAGUGAUGUGAUAAUGGCGAGUCUGUAACUUGAAAGUAAUUUCUGUAAAGACUUAUACCGUGAACAGAGGGGUUUUAUUUUCUGCUGCUAAAGGGAGAUCAAAGUAUGAUCUAGAGAUUAGACCUGUUUUGAGAGAGAAAACUGAGUGGCCUAUUUCUACCUCUGUCACUGAAUUGCUGCAUCAAACUGAGCAAGUCACUUAACUUCUCUGUGCCCUGGACCUUUGCUGUGUGUACUGAAGCAUUCAGCUCUCUCACUAAUAACAAACAUUUUAUAUGGCUUAAUCAUAAAUGAUUGCCUGUGUGCUAAUUAGCCACAGUCAGUGCAAAGUUUAUUAUACUUGUUUUCAACCUUUACACCAAUUCAGGGAACGUGAUGGCUGGUUUUCAUUUCAUUUUGGUCACAGCUUGCAGGAAGGAAAGGAAGAAAGCUCUGAGAUCCACAGAGGACCUGUGGAGGCAAUGACACAGACUGCAGGCUAAUGGGAAUUUCUGGGCUCAGGGCUGUACUUUACAAAGGAUGCUGGCAUCAGAGAAGCAUUAUUACAGUGUUUUAUAUUGGUCUGGAUGAGUUUAAACAACCAGCUGAGCUACUAGCAGCAAUGUACACAGUGGAGGCCAGCUUUCCAAAUAAGUCCUGUGUCUCACACUGACUGUACUUGACUUUUGGUCACCAGGUUUUUUCUGUUGCUCAACCCAGUUCAAAUAACACUAGCUGAGGUAUGCUGACCUCCUCUUACAGCUGUAGUUUGGAGGUAGUGCUUGCUCGUGAGCUCAGACCAGCAAAUGAAUAAGCCAGGUCUGCAGUCUGACAGUGUGCUUGCAUCUGCACCAAUGCACAAUCUGCUGAAAAGCACUCAACUGCCCAGGCCCUUCAAAUACCAGGGUAAAGCUGUGUCAACAGUUGUCUCCCUGACAACCUUCUGAGCACUCUUCUAUAUGGAAGAAAUCAGUCAAAAUCAGUCAAAAAGGGAAAUCCCUCUGCUUUAGGCAGGGCUGCAGUUUUACCUUUUUCAAAAAGAGAAAGAAAUCAGGAGUGUCCCACUCUGUGGCAAUACUGGAAAUGUAAUCUGUAAGUACAUGCAAAGGCACUGUGAUUAAAUCAGAGGUACAGGAGCAAUACACAAAAGUGUAUCUGUGCACAAAAGCAGACUCACAUCAGUUCUGCAUUUUGUGCACAGGCAGCCUAAGAGAAGAGACUCCAUGAUUCAAAAUGUCUGCAGUCUGCGUCCCUGGAGAAUCAGUAGGAGUUGAAGAAAACUUCCAAAUGUUUUCUGUGUAUGCAAUAGAAACAAGAAAGCUGCCUUUUCCCAAGGUAUCAACAGAGAAACUGAGGAAUAAAGGGAUUAACAAGUUCUGUGCAUGGUGACACGUGUUUGGGUUUGUUUGUUUGGUUUUUGUUUUUUCUUUUUAAUUUUCUUUUGAUGCAUUUGAGAAAGAAGCAAAUUCCCUGAAUUUCCCAGUAUGACACAGCAAAGCAAACCCCGUGAAUCUCUGCAGCAGUUGCAACAGAAUCUUCAUGCCCUCUGUCCUUUGUCCUUCUAAGGGGAAAUGUUGGGUGGCACACAACAUUUAAAAGUUAAUGAUAGGCUAGCCAGUAAAAGUGAAGACUUGCAGCUUUGGGUUGCAGCAGAGAAACAGGAGGGCAGCCUGUUCAUACCAAAUGUCUGAGAGUACCUUAUUCACGGGAAGCACUGGCAGACUAUAAAGUACUCUGUUAAUUAUUGUUGACAUUGCAUAGAGAGCUUCAUGCUGUUCUUUCUCUGCCUGCUUUGACUUAAUUUGUUUGAGAAAGUACUUUUUCUGUGCUGCAGAUUAUGUAAAUUCAUAUACUCUACUGCACUGACAGAUGUGUCUUUGUUUUAGAAGAAGCCAUUAUUUUUUUCAGUGCUGAAUGUGAAUGGAGCAUUUCACACUGGUGGCUUCCAAAAAUAUUUAUAAAGUGAAGCUGAGCAGCUCAAAAUAUUUUGCCCUCCUACACUGACAUUCACAAGCCUUUAUAGCAGCAUUAUCAAAAGCAUUUGCAGUGGAACGUGCAUGAGUUGGCCACAAAGAUUGGGUUAGUCAACAAAUGACUGAAGGCACACAUUUUAGUCAUCUCUACCCCACACAGUGUACAGCAGAAUCCAGUUGCAACUGUAACAGGGCAAUUAUUGUAUAUUGUGGGUCAAAGGCUAUCUUAUAAUGAUCCCUUUCUCUCAUAACUCCUGCACAUCUGAGGAAACAGGAUGAAGAAGUAGAAAGUGAGUAAAAUUCUCCUUUCUUCCUGUUUCAGCUGGUGAAAUGUGGUUUGACUGUGCACUGAAUACCACAGGCAGUGCUCGUUCUGAGGGCUGAUAGCUGCUCAUGGGGUGGCAUUGUCUGCCUUCCAUGUUUACGUUCCACUUCCACUGACCAUUGCCUAGGGGUUCUCCAGCUCACUCUCCCACUCUUUGAUUCUUCCUGAACAUGCUGCUAAGAAACAAAGCAAGCUGCAGCCACUUGGGCAGAGAAAAAGGCUCCCUCUGAGUACAUAAAUGCAUCAGACUUCCUCUUAGAUUUCACUAUGAAUUAAAAUGACCUCUCUGCCAAUUGAUUGUAAUGACUUCCAUAGUCUGCACCACUGUAUUGAAACCAGGGCUUCUCACACAUUUCUUCCCACUAGGAGUUAUCCAAGAGAGCUACACUAGCAACCUGUGCCCUCCAGCUGCAGGUAGAAGAGCUGUCUGGCUAACUUCAUGAGUAUGGACAUGAUAACUGACACACAAUGAUUUCAACAAUAAGACUGAGUGUACUCCAUGUCCAUUCUCAGCUUUGUACAUUUCCAUCUUCAAAGUUUUAAAAUAUGUAAUGAAUAGCAGUGAUUCCAAGGAAUCCAACCUUUAAACCACUAAAUAAUGUUAGCUCCAUUGGCUUUCUGUCUCCAGGAGUGGGGGCUAUGCACCAUGCUUAAACACUCUGAUUACCCUCAGCAGGCAAAUGGAUAGAAAAGACAUUUUAAACAGGGAAAGUCUCCCCACCUGAAUCGAUACAGUGAGGAGCUCAGCAGCAGGAGAGGGAAUAUGUGUCAUACACUAUCCUGUCUUCCUAAACACAAGUUUGUGUUGAUGAAAAAAUAGUGAAAAGUUUUACCCCGCAAUGAACAGGGACGACAACUAAUCCCCCCUUCCUCGUUAUUUAGGAGAUAUCUCUCUAGUAUACCUAAUGCACACUGCAUAGGAUGUCAUUUCACUUCAAUGAGCAUAGAAGUUUCUUUCCUCGUAAUCCUUGCAUUGUUUGGACACAAUCUUUUUUCAAAAGUUUCCACUUUUGCUUUGCUAGAUGUUAAUUUUUUAAUUCCUGAUGAGUGUGUGACCCUUUUGUUGUCUAUAUGCGCGUUAAUUCUGUGAUAUUUAAGCAUGGCUAAAUGAAAAGUGUCUCAGCUGAAGAUAAUUUUCAUUGGUUUGGCUUUUUGGUUUUUUGGGGUUUUUUUGGGGUUUUUUUUGGUAAUAAGACAGUUAUUUUGAGUUUCUUGCUGCACUUUGGAGGCGUGUGCAUUAAAGUUACUUCUAAAGCCUUGAAACAGGAAAGAAUAGCUCACUUUAAAGCAUGUAUUGCCAUGUAUUUGCUACCCUCUUGCUUGUGCCUUGUAGCAGGUGAAAAAGCAGUAAUGGGUGACUAAGAAUGCAAUAAAGGAAAGAAGCCUGGGGAACAGUAACAGCAAA